rnacentral:rRNA from 1 species
GACGGACGCUGGCGGCGUGCCUAAUACAUGCAAGUAGAACGCACAGUUUAUACCGUAGCUUGCUACACCAUAGACUGUGAGUUGCGAACGGGUGAGUAACGCGUAGGUAACCUGCCUGGUAGCGGGGGAUAACUAUUGGAAACGAUAGCUAAUACCGCAUAAUAUUAAUUAUUGCAUGAUAAUUAAUUGAAAGGUGCAAUUGCACCACUACCAGAUGGACCUGCGUUGUAUUAGCUAGUAGGUGAGGUAACGGCUCACCUAGGCGACGAUACAUAGCCGACCUGAGAGGGUGAUCGGCCACACUGGGACUGAGACACGGCCCAGACUCCUACGGGAGGCAGCAGUAGGGAAUCUUCGGCAAUGGACGAAAGUCUGACCGAGCAACGCCGCGUGAGUGAAGAAGGUUUUCGGAUCGUAAAGCUCUGUUGUAAGAGAAGAACGGGUGUGAGAGUGGAAAGUUCGCACUGUGACGGUAUCUUACCAGAAAGGGACGGCUAACUACGUG